AUGCAAUUAAAAUAAAUAUGUAUUCUAGUGUUUUGGGGUGGAGUUAAUCUAUAAAGAAUUGGAUCGGUUUGCUUAACAGUUUUGUUCAAAAGUUGUAUAUCCUUACUAAAUUUCUCAGUAAGUAAUUUUAAUCAAUUAUUAAGUGAGAAGUAUUAAAAUAUUCCAUUAUAAAUGAGAUUGUUCUGUUUAUUCUUUUAAUUUCCUCAUUAAUAAUUUUGAACUCAGUUAUUAGGUAUACACACAUUUAGUUUGGUUUUAGCCUCUUGAUAAAUUGAUCUCUUCAUCAUUAUGAGAAGUACUGCUAUAUCCCUGGAAUAUUCCUUGCUCUGACAUUUACAUUGCCUAAUAUUAAUAUGGAUACUCUAAUUUUUAUAUGUGUAUUCAAUGUUCUCAUAGUAUAACUUUUGCAUGCUUUUGCUUUUAUCAGAAAAGUAUCUUUAUAUGUAAAUAUGUUUCUUAAAGAUAGCACAUAAUUGAGUCUUUAAAAAAAAGUUAUAUGUCUAGGAACAAUGGUUCACGCCUGUAAUCCUAUCACUAGGAUUACAUUAGCUAGUGUAAUCUUAGCACUAGCUGGGGCAGGUGGAUCACUUGAGGUCAGGAGUUUGAAACCAGCCUGGCCAACAUGGAGAAACCCCGUCUCCACUAAAAACACAAAAAAAUAGCCAGGCAUGGUGGCACAUGCCUGUAAUCCCAGCUACUUGGGGGGCUAAGGUGGGAGAAUUACUUCAACCCGGGAGGCGGAGAUGGCAGUGAGAGGAGAUCGCAUCACUGCACUCCAGCCUGGGCGACAGAGCAAGACUCUGUCUUAAAAAAAAAAUACAAAAUAAAAAAAAAAUUAUGUUUGAGAUCUGAUAGUUUAAAAAUAUAUGGUAUAUAUGUGGAGAACACAUAUGUACUAUGUUCACCAAGAGGAGAUUUACUACAAAUAUAUUUUUUGUUUCUUGUUUCCUUCAAGCUCUGAGUGAGUUUGAAAGUGGAUCUUCUGGAGCCUUCCAACAGUCAUUUGAGGAAUCUGGAAGUGCAUUUUUGAUGCUUUCCCACAGCCACCUGAGUGAUCUGAGAUGAGGUCAUGCUAUGUUGUCUAGACAAGAUUGAUAAGGGGUCAACACCCAAAGUGUAUAAGAAACUCAACUCAUUAGUAAGAAUACAGAUAUACCUAUUAGAACAUUGGAAAAUGAUCUGAAAAGACACUGCUCAAAAUAAGACACCCAAGUGGCCAACAGGUACGUGAAAAGGUACUUAGCAUCAAUAAUCAUUAGGGAAAUGCAAAUUAAAAUCAUAAUGAGAUAUCACCUCACACCCAUUACAAUGGCUUUUUAUCAAAAAGAUGAAACAUUACAAGUGUUGGAGAGAUUGUGGAGAAAAGGCAACUCUCAUACACUGUAGUGGGAAUAUAAAUUUGUAUACAACCAUUAUAAAAAAUAGUAUGGACAUUCCUUGAAAAUUUGAAAAUAGGACCACCAUCUGAUCCAGCAAUCUCACUACUGGGUUUAUGCAUAAAGAAAUCAGCAUGUCAAAGAGCUAUCUGCCCUCUCAUUUUCAUUACAGUAUUUUUCAUAAUAGCCAAGACAAAGUAGUAAAUCAGCUGAGUGUCCAUCAACAAAUGAAUGGAAAAGAAAAUGUGUUUAUAUACACAAUGGAAGACCAUUGAGGCUUAAAAAGGAGGAGAUCCUGUUUAUUUGGGACAAUAUGGAUGAAUCUUCAGAGACAUUAUGCUAAGUGAAACACAGGCACUGAAAUGACGAAUACUGCAUGAUCUCACGAAUAUGUAGGAAUAAAAAAGAAGUUGAACUCACAGAAGUAGACAGUAUAAUGAUAGUUACCCAAGGCAGGGGGUGGAAGAGGUGGGGAAGGAAAGAAUGUAGAGUUGCUGAUCAAAGGAUAUAAAGUUUCAGAUAGACAGGAGGAAUAGGUUUUCAGGUCUAUAUAUAAUAAUGUACAUUUCAAAAUAAC
ensembl:lncRNA